UGCCGACCUUUUGAUCAGCAAGUCCUAGGCUCUGUGGUUUAACCCACAGCGCCACCCACGUCCCUUUCGAUUUUAAUGUACUUUGCUACAAUUUGUAAAUGGGAUGUUUGGAAGCAGUGUUUGCAGAAAUGAGCAAUGGUACAUAGUUUCUGUUAUUUUUUGAGGAACCAUAUGAUUCAACUCAUUAGCCCAGGAACUAUGUGUAACAGAAAAGGAUUAUUGUGUAAGGGUUCAACAUGUUGUAUCUCAAAAUAACCUGAAAGCCGGCUUUGUUCCUUUGUAUUCUGUAACAUUAUUGAGUAAAUAAAUUCUCUUUCCCCCCUUAAAGUGAUAAGUAUGAGAAUGCAGGUAUGAAUUUGAUAUCACUGUGUUCAAGCUUGUGGAACAAGUCAUGCAGAACCCAUCUUCAACUGUGCAGCUUCUGUUUUCUGAAUAUUGCUUAUUCUUUUGGGUGAGGUGCUUUCUAAAAUCCUAGCAGCAAUCCUGCUCUGCUUUUCUUUAAAAUGAAGGAUAGCACACCUCAUUGCCAAGAGAAACAGCUGAAACUAAUGAAAUUAUUGUAUAACACAGUAGUACUGUGCAUUGUGACUACCUCUUGGCAAUGGCAGAACAUAGCCUU